ensembl:lncRNA novel transcript
GAGAAGGAGGCAGAGCUGUUUGACAUCUGAGCAGCGGAAUUCGGAAUUCGCAGUUCACCCUCGAGCGUCUUAACGUGGGCCUGGACGCCUGUCUGACGCCCUCCAGAGGCGCGAAGCAGCGGGAAGAACCCAGGACUGUGGCCUUGAGCAGCCCGGAGGGCCCAGGACCAGGCUGCCUCAGCCUCUGAGGUCCCAUCGUGAGCAGGAGGAGGAGGAGGCCCGGCUGGCCAGCAUGCCCGCCUGGAGGUGGGACCUCCUGCGGAAGAAGCUGGAAGAAGAGAGGUGAGCCGGCGGUCAGGCAGAGGCUGGCCUGGCAGCGGGUCUUGACUGCGCCCCUGAGGUGGAGGUACCAAGUGACACUGUUUCUCCUUCUAGGAAGCAGAAGCGUUGGAGAACCAGUCCCAGCCUUGUGACACUGGGCCCAAUCAGCGUUUAGCCCACCAGGGUCCACCCAGCACCUGCGCUCCCAGCUGUCACAAUGCAAACAACGCUAUCAAGAUCUCCAGGAGAAGCUGCUGCUAUCAGAAGCCACUGUCUUUGCUCAGGCGAACGAGCUGGAGAAAUACAGAGU